rnacentral:rRNA from 1 species
UCUGUUUGACCUCGGAUCAGGCAGGGAUACCCGC